rnacentral:rRNA from 1 species
UACAGAGGGUGCGAGCGUUAAUCGGAUUACUGGGCGUAAAGCGUGCGUAGACGGUUAUUUAAGUCGGAUGUGAAAGCCCCGGGCUCAACCUGGGAAUUGCAUUCGAGACUGAAUAGCUAGGGUGCGGUAGAGGGAAGCGGAAUUUCCGGUGUAGCGGUGAAAUGCGUAGAUAUCGGAAGGAACAUCAGUGGCGAAAGCGGCUUCCUGGACCAGCACCGACGUUCAGGCACGAAAGCGUGGGGAGCAAACAGG